UACGGAGGAUGCAAGCGUUAUCCGGAAUGAUUGGGCGUAAAGCGUCCGCAGGUGGCUGUGUAAGUCUGCUGUUAAAGAGUCAUGCUCAACAUGAUAAGAGCAGUGGAAACUACACGGCUAGAGUGCGUUCGGGGUAGAAGGAAUUCCUGGUGUAGCGGUGAAAUGCGUAGAGAUCAGGAAGAAUACCGGUGGCGAAAGCGUUCUGCUAGACCUGUACUGACACUGAGGGACGAAAGCUAGGGGAGCGAAUGGG
rnacentral:rRNA from 1 species